rnacentral:rRNA from 1 species
GAAGUUAGCGGCGGACGGGUGAGUAACACGUGGGUAACCUGCCCAUAAGACUGGGAUAACUCCGGGAAACCGGGGCUAAUACCGGAUAACAUUUUGAACUGCAUGGUUCGAAAUUGAAAGGCGGCUUCGGCUGUCACUUAUGGAUGGACCCGCGUCGCAUUAGCUAGUUGGUGAGGUAACGGCUCACCAAGGCAACGAUGCGUAGCCGACCUGAGAGGGUGAUCGGCCACACUGGGACUGAGACACGGCCCAGACUCCUACGGGAGGCAGCAGUAGGGAAUCUUCCGCAAUGGACGAAAGUCUGACGGAGCAACGCCGCGUGAGUGAUGAAGGCUUUCGGGUCGUAAAACUCUGUUGUUAGGGAAGAACAAGUGCUAGUUGAAUAAGCUGGCACCUUGACGGUACCUAACCAGAAAGCCACGGCUAACUACGUGCCAGCAGCCGCGGUAAUACGUAGGUGGCAAGCGUUAUCCGGAAUUAUUGGGCGUAAAGCGCGCGCAGGUGGUUUCUUAAGUCUGAUGUGAAAGCCCACGGCUCAACCGUGGAGGGUCAUUGGAAACUGGGAGACUUGAGUGCAGAAGAGGAAAGUGGAAUUCCAUGUGUAGCGGUGAAAUGCGUAGAGAUAUGGAGGAACACCAGUGGCGAAGGCGACUUUCUGGUC